rnacentral:rRNA from 1 species
UUGGGUUUAUGUGGCGCGGCUUACACAUGCAGUCGAGCGGAGAUGAGGUGCUUGCACCUUAUCUUAGCGGCGGACGGGUGAGUAAUGCUUAGGAAUCUGCCUAUUAGUGGGGGACAACAUUCCGAAAGGAAUGCUAAUACCGCAUACGUCCUACGGGAGAAAGCAGGGGAUCUUCGGACCUUGCGCUAAUAGAUGAGCCUAAGUCGGAUUAGCUAGUUGGUGGGGUAAAGGCCUACCAAGGCGACGAUCUGUAGCGGGUCUGAGAGGAUGAUCCGCCACACUGGGACUGAGACACGGCCCAGACUCCUACGGGAGGCAGCAGUGGGGAAUAUUGGACAAUGGGGGGAACCCUGAUCCAGCCAUGCCGCGUGUGUGAAGAAGGCCUUAUGGUUGUAAAGCACUUUAAGCGAGGAGGAGGCUACUGAGACUAAUACUCUUGGAUAGUGGACGUUACUCGCAGAAUAAGCACCGGCUAACUCUGUGCCAGCAGCCGCGGUAAUACAGAGGGUGCGAGCGUUAAUCGGAUUUACUGGGCGUAAAGCGUGCGUAGGCGGCUUUUUAAGUCGGAUGUGAAAUCCCCGAGCUUAACUUGGGAAUUGCAUUCGAUACUGGGAAGCUAGAGUAUGGGAGAGGAUGGUAGAAUUCCAGGUGUAGCGGUGAAAUGCGUAGAGAUCUGGAGGAAUACCGAUGGCGAAAGGCAGCCAUCUGGGACUAAUACUGACGCUGAGGUACGUAAGCAUGGGGGAGCAAACAGGAUUAUAUACUCUGGUAGGCCAUGCUCGUAAAACGAGGUCUAGUAGCGGUUGGGGGUCCUUUAAAGGCUUUAGUGGCGCUCACAU